GCCAGAAUAGCUCAGUCGGGUGGGCGUUAGACUGAAGUUUUAAAGGUCCCUGGUUUGAUCCUGGGUUCUGGCA